rnacentral:misc_RNA from 1 species
GAUGAAGAACGUAGCGAAAUGCGAUAAGUAAUGUGAAUUGCAGAAUUCAGUGAAUCAUCGAAUCUUUGAACGCACCUUGCACCCUUUGGCAUUCCGAAGGGUAUGCUCGUUUGAGUGUCAUUGUACUCUCACACUUCUGAUCCUUUGGAUUGGGAGCGGUGGACUUGGUUGUUGCUGCUUUACUGUGGCUCACCUCAAAUGCAUUCGUGCAACUCUUGGUUGGACAUAGUACGGCGUGAUAAGUAUCUUCGCCGGCACCUCGCAAGAGGGUGGCUGAUCAGGAGCUCUGUGCUUUCCAACUGUCUUCAGACAACAACUGACAACUUGACCUCAAAUCGAGUAGGACCACCCGCUGAACUUAAGCAUAUCAAUAAGCGGAGGA